GACAGAGGAUGCAAGCGUUGUCCGGAAUUAUUGGGCGUAAAGAGCUCGUAGGCGGCUCGUCGCGUCGGCUGUGAAAACCUGGGGCUCAACCCCGGGCCUGCAGCCGAUACGGGCGAGCUAGAAUUCGGUAGGGGAGACUGGAAUUCCUGGUGUAGCGGUGAAAUGCGCAGAUAUCAGGAGGAACACCGGUGGCGAAGGCGGGUCUCUGGGCAAUAACUGACGCUGAGGAGCGAAAGCGUGGGGAGCGAACAGG
rnacentral:rRNA from 1 species